GGAUAUAGUUUAAAGGUAGAACUACGGUCUCCAAAACCGUCGGUGUGGGUUCGAUUCCUACUAUCCCUGCCAUG
rnacentral:tRNA from 1 species